AUCGCUUAAUUCUUUUUAAAGAAGCGGGGGAACCAAUUUUCUUGGGGUGAAUCGAUUUUGAAGAGCUGCCCUUUUGCUCUAACCCGACAGCUAACCUCGUAAGCGUCAAAGGGGA
rnacentral:sRNA from 1 species